GGCUAUGUAUGUGCCACAAAGGUAAUGGCCUUGAAAAAGAUUCUUGAAGUAGCAGGAAAGAGUACAUGAUUUAACAGUGAAGAGAAAGGACAUGCAAGAAGAAGCCCCAAGGAUGUUUUUUCUACCAAAUUUUCAUGGAGGAAAGGCAAUCCGUGGAUAUACCCAGUGUUCAGCAGCUCUUGGAGUGGUCAAUGGUGACCUUAAGUUCACAGAAGCUCCUUCCUUCCAUAAUACAAAUGCCAAGGAAUGGAAAGAAUUUUAAAAUGUUCCCCACCGUUAUACCUACCCUGGAAUUGGACAUAACAGACCUUCUGGAGGACAGGUGAGAGAAUGUAUUUAACAUACCACGGGUUGCUCCCUGUCCAGAGCUGACUGAGUAUCUAAAAAUGACUCCCGAGAAGCUUCAGCA